CCUACGGGAGGCUGCAGUAGGGAAUCUUCCACAAUGGACGAUAGUCUGAUGGAGCAACGCCGCGUGUGUGAUGAAGGGUUUCGGCUCGUAAAACACUGUUGUAAGAGAAGAAUGACAGUGAGAGUAACUGUUCAGUGUGUGACGGUAUCUUACCAGAAAGGAACGGCUAAAUACGUGCCAGCAGCCGCGGUAAUACGUAUGUUCCAAGGGUUAUCCGGAUUUAUUGGGCGUAAAGAGAGCGCGGAAGAUUGUUUGUGUCCGAAGUGAAAGCCCACGUCUUAACUGUGGAAGUGCUUUGGAAACUUGAUAACUUGAGUGCAGUAGAGGAGAGUGUAACACCAUGUGUAGCCGUGAACUGCGUAGAUAUAUGGAAGAACACCAGUGGCGAAGGACGCUCUCUGGACUGUAACAGACGUUGAGGCUCGAAAGUGUGGGCAGCAAACAGGAUUAGAUACCCCUGUAGUC
rnacentral:rRNA from 1 species